rnacentral:rRNA from 1 species
GCAAGCCUGACGGAGCAAUACCGCGUGAGGGAGGAAGGCCUUUGGGUUGUAAACCUCUUUUCUUAAGGAAGAAGCUCUGACGGUACUUAAGGAAUCAGCAUCGGCUAACUCCGUGCCAGCAGCCGCGGUAAUACGGAGGAUGCAAGCGUUAUCCGGAAUUAUUGGGCGUAAAGCGUCCGUAGGCGGCAUUAUAAGUCUGCUGUCAAAGACCGCAGCUCAACUGCGGAGAGGCAGUGGAAACUGUAAAGCUAGAGUCUGGUAGGGGUAGAGGGAAUUCCCAGUGUAGCGGUGAAAUGCGUAGAGAUUGGGAAGAACACCAGUGGCGAAAGCGCUCUGCUGGGCCAGAACUGACGCUGAGGGACGAAAGCUAGGGGAGCG